AGAUUGAACGCUGGCGGCAUGCCUAACACAUGCAAGUCGAACGGGAGUAGCAAUACUCUAGUGGCGGACGGGUGAGGAAUACGUAGGAAUUUGCCCUUAAGUGGGGGAUAACCCGGGGAAACCCGGAUUAAUACCGCAUGACCUCGAAAGAGCAAAGUGGGGGAUCGCAAGACCUCACGCUUUUGGAGAAGCCUACGUCGGAUUAGCUAGUUGGUGAGGUAAUGGCUCACCAAGGCGACGAUCCGUAACUGGUCUGAGAGGAUGAUCAGUCACACCGGAACUGAGACACGGUCCGGACUCCUACGGGAGGCAGCAGUGGGGAAUAUUGGACAAUGGGCGCAAGCCUGAUCCAGCAAUGCCGCGUGUGUGAAGAAGGCCUGGUUGUAAGACGUACUUAAGUUAGGAAGGAAAAAACUAACGACUACUAACUAACAGUAGAGUACUUGUACGGUACCGUACAGAAUAAGACACCGACCGUAACUCUAGUGCACGACAGCCGACGGUAACUACGUACGAGGCCGGGCGUCGGA
rnacentral:rRNA from 1 species